GUGGGGAAUAUUGGACAAUGGGCGAAAGCCUGAUCCAGCAAUGCCGCGUGAGUGAUGAAGGCCCUAGGGUUGUAAAGCUCUUUUACCCGGGAUGAUAAUGACAGUACCGGGAGAAUAAGCUCCGGCUAACUUCGUGCCAGCAGCCGCGGUAAUACGAGGGGAGCUAGCGUUGUUCGGAAUUACUGGGCGUAAAGCGCGCGUAGGCGGUUUUUUAAGUCAGAGGUGAAAGCCCGGGGCUCAACCCCGGAAUAGCCUUUGAGACUGGAUUGCUAGAAUCCUGGAGAGGUGAGUGGAAUUCCGAGUGUAGAGGUGAAAUUCGUAGAUAUUCGGAAGAACACCAGUGGCGAAGGCGGCUCACUGGACAGGUAUUGACGCUGAGGUGCGAAAGCGUGGGGAGCAAACAGGAUUAGAUACCCGAGUAGUCC
rnacentral:rRNA from 1 species